rnacentral:rRNA from 1 species
GACGUAGGGUGCGAGCGUUGUCCGGAUUUAUUGGGCGUAAAGAGCUCGUAGGCGGCUCGUCGCGUCGACCGUGAAAACCCGCGGCUUAACUGCGGGCUUGCGGUUGAUACGGGCGGGCUAGAGUUCGGUAGGGGAGACUGGAAUUCCUGGUGUAGCGGUGAAAUGCGUAGAUAUCAAGAGGAACACCUGAGGUGAAGACGGGUUGCUGGGCUGACACUGACGCUGAGGCGCGAAAGCCAGGGGAGCAAACGGG